UUAAGCGACUAAGCGUACACGGUGGAUGCCCUGGCAGUCAGAGGCGAUGAAGGACGUGCUAAUCUGCGAAAAGCGUCGGUAAGGUGAUAUGAACCGUUAUAACCGGCGAUGUCCGAAUGGGGAAACCCAGUGCAAUUCGUUGCACUAUCGUUAACUGAAUACAUAGGUUAACGAGGCGAACCGGGGGAACUGAAACAUCUAAGUACCCCGAGGAAAAGAAAUCAACCGAGAUUCCCCCAGUAGCGGCGAGCGAACGGGGAGCAGCCCAGAGUCUGAAUCAGCUUGUGUGUUAGUGGAACGGUCUGGAAAGUCCGACGGUACAGGGUGAUAGUCCCGUACACCAAAAUGCACAGGCUGUGAACUCGAAGAGUAGGGCGGGACACGUGGUAUCCUGUCUGAAUAUGGGGGGGGACCAUCCUCCAAGGCUAAAUACUCCUGACUGACCGAUAGUGAACCAGUACCGUGAGGGAAAGGCGAAAAGAACCCCGGCGAGGGGAGUGAAAAAGAACCUGAAACCGUGUACGUACAAGCAGUGGGAGCACCUUCGGGUGUGACUGCGUACCUUUGUAUAAUGGGUCAGCGACUUAUAUUCUGUAGCAAGGUUAACCGUAUAGGGAGCCGCAGGGAAACCGAGUCUUAACUGGGCGUUAAGUUGCAGGGUAUAGACCCGAAACCCGGUGAUCAGCCAUGGGCAGGUUGAAGGUUGGGUAACACUAACUGGAGGACCGAACCGACUAAUGUUGAAAAAUUAGCGGAUGACUUGUGGCUGGGGGUGAAAGGCCAAUCAAACCGGGAGAUAGCUGGUUCUCCCCGAAAGCUAUUUAGGUAGCGCCUCGUGAAUUCAUCUUCGGGGGUAGAGCACUGUUUCGGCUAGGGGGUCAUCCCGACUUACCAACCCGAUGCAAACUACGAAUACCGAAGAAUGUUAUCACGGGAGACACACGGCGGGUGCUAACGUCCGUCGUGAAGAGGGAAACAACCCAGACCGCCAGCUAAGGUCCCAAAGUCAUGGUUAAGUGGGAAACGAUGUGGGAAGGCACAGACAGCCAGGAUGUUGGCUUAGAAGCAGCCAUCAUUUAAAGAAAGCGUAAUAGCUCACUGGUCGAGUCGGCCUGCGCGGAAGAUGUAACGGGGCUAAACCAUGCACCGAAGCUGCGGCAGCGACACUAUGUGUUGUUGGGUAGGGGAGCGUUCUGUAAGCCUGCGAAGGUGUGCUGUGAGGCAUGCUGGAGGUAUCAGAAGUGCGAAUGCUGACAUAAGUAACGAUAAAGCGGGUGAAAAGCCCGCUCGCCGGAAGACCAAGGGUUCCUGUCCAACGUUAAUCGGGGCAGGGUGAGUCGACCCCUAAGGCGAGGCCGAAAGGCGUAGUCGAUGGGAAACAGGUUAAUAUUCCUGUACUUGGUGUUACUGCGAAGGGGGGACGGAGAAGGCUAUGUUAGCCGGGCGACGGUUGUCCCGGUUUAAGCAUGUAGGCUGGUUGUCCAGGCAAAUCCGGAUAAUCAAGGCUGAGGUGUGAUGACGAGGCACUACGGUGCUGAAGUAACAAAUGCCCUGCUUCCAGGAAAAGCCUCUAAGCAUCAGGUAACAUCAAAUCGUACCCCAAACCGACACAGGUGGUCAGGUAGAGAAUACCAAGGCGCUUGAGAGAACUCGGGUGAAGGAACUAGGCAAAAUGGUGCCGUAACUUCGGGAGAAGGCACGCUGGUGUGUAGGUGAAGCCCCUGCGGGUGGAGCUGAGACCAGUCGAAGAUACCAGCUGGCUGCAACUGUUUAUUAAAAACACAGCACUGUGCAAACACGAAAGUGGACGUAUACGGUGUGACGCCUGCCCGGUGCCGGAAGGUUAAUUGAUGGGGUUAUCCGUAAGGAGAAGCUCUUGAUCGAAGCCCCGGUAAACGGCGGCCGUAACUAUAACGGUCCUAAGGUAGCGAAAUUCCUUGUCGGGUAAGUUCCGACCUGCACGAAUGGCGUAAUGAUGGCGCUGUCUCCACCCGAGACUCAGUGAAAUUGAACUCGCUGUGAAGAUGCAGUGUACCCGCGGCAAGACGGAAAGACCCCGUGAACCUUUACUAUAGCUUGACACUGAACAUUGAGCCUUGAUGUGUAGGAUAGGUGGGAGGCUUUGAAGCGUGGACGCCAGUCUGCGUGGAGCCAACCUUGAAAUACCACCCUUUAAUGUUUGAUGUUCUAACGUUGGCCCCUUACCGGGGUUGCGGACAGUGUCUGGUGGGUAGUUUGACUGGGGCGGUCUCCUCCCAAAGCGUAACGGAGGAGCACGAAGGUUAGCUAAUCCUGGUCGGACAUCAGGAGGUUAGUGCAAUGGCAUAAGCUAGCUUGACUGCGAGCGUGACGGCGCGAGCAGGUGCGAAAGCAGGUCAUAGUGAUCCGGUGGUUCUGAAUGGAAGGGCCAUCGCUCAACGGAUAAAAGGUACUCCGGGGAUAACAGGCUGAUACCGCCCAAGAGUUCAUAUCGACGGCGGUGUUUGGCACCUCGAUGUCGGCUCAUCACAUCCUGGGGCUGAAGUAGGUCCCAAGGGUAUGGCUGUUCGCCAUUUAAAGUGGUACGCGAGCUGGGUUUAGAACGUCGUGAGACAGUUCGGUCCCUAUCUGCCGUGGGCGCUGGAGAAUUGAGGGGGGCUGCUCCUAGUACGAGAGGACCGGAGUGGACGCAUCACUGGUGUUCGGGUUGUCAUGCCAAUGGCACUGCCCGGUAGCUAAAUGCGGAAGAGAUAAGUGCUGAAAGCAUCUAAGCACGAAACUUGCCCCGAGAUGAGUUCUCCCUGAGACUAUAAGUCUCCUGAAGGAACGUUAAAGACGAUGACGUUGAUAGGCCGGGUGUGUAAGCGCAGCGAUGCGUUGAGCUAACCGGUACUAAUGAACCGUGAGGCUUAACCU
rnacentral:rRNA from 1 species